GCCACAUAGCUCAGUUGGUAGAACUUGAGACACUUAAUCACAGGAUCAUGGGUUCAAACCCCAUGUUGGGUG